GUGCAUACUGUACCCACUACUUACUCUGAGUCUCCACAAGGUCCAAGGCAACACUAGAAACUGUGUCCAUGCCAGAACUGAUACAGGAUUGGAAGUUCU